UGAUGUUUCAAGGCAGCUGAAGUGAAGCACUUAGCAAAAUCUUGGUUCUGUUGAAGUUGAAUGGACAGUUAUAAAGGACUUCAGUGAAGGCAGAAAAUCACCACCACUUUUCCAAAACCAGGGCAACAUUCCUGCAUGGAUCUGACUUGCUUCUGUUCGGCCUUGAAGGUUCAUCCCAGAUAAGCUGGCAGCAAUGGAGUUGUAUUGAAGGUGUAUUACUCAUGAUAUUCUUUAAACCAGCACACAAGUGCCUGCAGCAAAGGAUCUCAGCAGGCUGGUUAUCACCACUUGUCUCCCUUGCAGGGGUCACAUAUUGCUGUUUUGUCACUGAGUCAGUUAAGUGUUGCUGGAAGAAGGAAGGUUGGAGGAGUAUUUGCCAUACUGGUGUGAGUGCUUCAAUGAGAAAUUACUCUCCUUCACAGCCUUCAUCCAUUCAAGUACUCUUAAUCAUGAAAUUUUCUUCACUUCAUCCUUAAAUUCCUUCACAGACAUCUUGUCUUAACUUGCUGACUACACUGUUAUGUUUUUAUUGAAUAUGGAUCUGUUCUGUUUCAUUAGUAAUUGUGCUUUUUGUGGAAAGGUUUAAUGGUGGAAUAUUAUUCAUUUAAUGAAUGCAUACCUCACACAUGUGCCUUUUUGACAUGCACAGCUACUUUUCAUGUUACAGAGAAAUAUGGUCUAUGCUCUAUGGCAUGUAGCUUUCAGGGAUGAUUCUCAGACAUGUAUAUAAUUUUCUGCAAAGCAGAGCAUCUCCUGUGCAUCCCUAUGCAUUGAACAGUGUCUAAAUAUAUUUCUGCGAGUUCAGUGAAAUUUUCAGAGGCUGUGUAAUGACAGAAAGAUGGGUUUGUGUACUCAGCUUGGCCAGACUUAAUCCUUGUGACAAGCAGACAGUCAAGCUGUUGAAGUUAGUGUGUAAAGUGGCCAAAAAGGUAUUUUUCUAGAGGUUUCAGAAACAUCACAGGAAAAAAAAAAAAUAUAUAUAUAUAUGUAACCUCUGAAAGAGAUCAACAACAUGGAUGGUAUUAUGCUGACCUCUGGGAUCACUGAAGAGGUCAGACUGUCUGAACUGUUCUGAAUUUGCAGAUAAAGGGGAGAAGAGCAAUGGCUUUAUUUAAUGUACUUGUCUUCAUCAUGCCUGUACAACAGAAACCUCACUGCCUACAGACUUAAAUGAGAAAUGUAUGGAGGUGACUUCUGCCUCAUGCUCUUGUUGGCAAUUGGAUUGACUGCUGUCAGAAACCACUAGCAAUGGCUUAAAAUAUUGUAUCAUAUUACAGGUAGG
rnacentral:lncRNA from 1 species